GACGAACGCUGGCGGCGUGCUUAACACAUGCAAGUCGUACGGUAAGGCCCUUUCGGGGGUACACGAGUGGCGAACGGGUGAGUAACGCGUGAGUAACCUGCCCACAACUUUGGGAUAACGCUAGGAAACUGGUGCUAAUACUGGAUAUGUGCCCCUGCUGCAUGGUGGGGGUUGGAAAGCUCCGGCGGUUGUGGAUGGACUCGCGGCCUAUCAGCUUGUUGGUGGGGUAGUGGCCUACCAAGGCGGCGACGGGUAGCCGGCCUGAGAGGGUGACCGGCCACAUUGGGACUGAGAUACGGCCCAGACUCCUACGGGGGGCAGGAGUGGGGAAUAUUGCACAAUGGGCGCAAGCCUGAUGCAGCAACGCCGCGGGCAGGAUGACGGCCUUCGGGUUGGAAACCGCUUUCAGCAGGGGCGAAGCUUUUUGUGACGGUACCUGCAGAAGAAGCACCGGCUAACUACGUG
rnacentral:rRNA from 1 species